rnacentral:rRNA from 1 species
GAUGAACGCUGGCGGCGUGCCUAAUACAUGCAAGUCGAGCGAACGGACGAGAAGCUUGCUUCUCUGAUGUUAGCGGCGGACGGGUGAGUAACACGUGGAUAACCUACCUAUAAGACUGGGAUAACUUCGGGAAACCGGAGCUAAUACCGGAUAAUAUUUUGAACCGCAUGGUUCAAAAGUGAAAGACGGUCUUGCUGUCACUUAUAGAUGGAUCCGCGCUGCAUUAGCUAGUUGGUAAGGUAACGGCUUACCAAGGCAACGAUGCAUAGCCGACCUGAGAGGGUGAUCGGCCACACUGGAACUGAGACACGGUCCAGACUCCUACGGGAGGCAGCAGUAGGGAAUCUUCCGCAAUGGGCGAAAGCCUGACGGAGCAACGCCGCGUGAGUGAUGAAGGUCUUCGGAUCGUAAAACUCUGUUAUUAGGGAAGAACAUAUGUGUAAGUAACUGUGCACAUCUUGACGGUACCUAAUCAGAAAGCCACGGCUAACUACGUGCCAGCAGCCGCGGUAAUACGUAGGUGGCAAGCGUUAUCCGGAAUUAUUGGGCGUAAAGCGCGCGUAGGCGGUCUUUUAAGUCUGAUGUGAAAGCCCACGGCUCAACCGUGGAGGGUCAUUGGAAACUGGAAAACUUGAGUGCAGAAGAGGAAAGUGGAAUUCCAUGUGUAGCGGUGAAAUGCGCAGAGAUAUGGAGGAACACCAGUGGCGAAGGCGACUUUCUGGUCUGUAACUGACGCUGAUGUGCGAAAGCGUGGGGAUCAAACAGGAUUAGAUACCCUGGUAGUCCACGCCGUAAACGAUGAGUGCUAAGUGUUAGGGGGUUUCCGCCCCUUAGUGCUGCAGCUAACGCAUUAAGCACUCCGCCUGGGGAGUACGACCGCAAGGUUGAAACUCAAAGGAAUUGACGGGGACCCGCACAAGCGGUGGAGCAUGUGGUUUAAUUCGAAGCAACGCGAAGAACCUUACCAAAUCUUGACAUCCUUUGACAACUCUAGAGAUAGAGCUUUCCCCUUCGGGGGACAAAGUGACAGGUGGUGCAUGGUUGUCGUCAGCUCGUGUCGUGAGAUGUUGGGUUAAGUCCCGCAACGAGCGCAACCCUUAAGCUUAGUUGCCAUCAUUAAGUUGGGCACUCUAAGUUGACUGCCGGUGACAAACCGGAGGAAGGUGGGGAUGACGUCAAAUCAUCAUGCCCCUUAUGAUUUGGGCUACACACGUGCUACAAUGGACAAUACAAAGGGCAGCGAAACCGCGAGGUCAAGCAAAUCCCAUAAAGUUGUUCUCAGUUCGGAUUGUAGUCUGCAACUCGACUACAUGAAGCUGGAAUCGCUAGUAAUCGUAGAUCAGCAUGCUACGGUGAAUACGUUCCCGGGUCU